GAGGAACAGGAAAUGUGCAUAGGAAGCAGGAUACCCUCCAGUUAGAAGGUUUGGGCGUGUACUGGGAAGUGGUGAGGGCACAGCUGCUCCUUUGCUAACGCUAGAGGGCGCAUUGUGGGUGGAAGAUAAGAACACCAGACUGAGGAAGUCGUACUGCUCACUCACUGCGCACUCACGUUAAAAUGGAAUGAAAAAGUCAAAAGCUUGUGGACCACUGGGUGCUGAAGAUAAGAACUCUUCAAGGAUUAAACCUGUAUCUGAGACCAUCUGGAAGAACAAUCAGAUGGCAUUAAGGCCGUAACUGAGGAAUUUGGUUAAUAAAGCUCCUGUUAUGUGAAGAUGAAUUGAAGAAAAAGAAG
rnacentral:lncRNA from 1 species